GAAAAGGAAAGCAUGAGAAGCACACUACAGAGACUGAUCUAGAGAAGUUAUCACUGUGCUGGGUGGGAGUCAUUCAUCUGUCUGCUCUGGGAGGUACAGAUUCACAUGAAGUCCCAGGAUAGCUUCUGUCGGCUUUGGUGGCCUGUUGCAGCAGCCAGCAGCAGGAAACUUGAGGAGCUAUCAUCUCAGGAAUGAACGGGGCCACAUCAAUAAGGAGACCUGUAAUGAUGUGGCUCUAAAUGUCAGCUUUAAAAGCCUGGGAAUUGAUAGAGGAAGAGAGAAGAAAGGGUGUCCCAGUUUUCCACAUGCCGAAUGAUUCAGCAAAAUAAUGUGAGCAAGUCAAGACUCUGGAAAAUAUUUUUAGAUGCCAAACAAAAACCUGGAGGUAAAUCUCUGCCCAGGCAGGUGAAGCUGUUUGUUCAAGAACCAGAGUUGUUUCAUGGGAGAUCUAGAGAUUAGAGCCCAAGCAUCCUGACUUGUAGUUCUCUUUCCAUUUCUUAAGAUACAACCAUUAGGUAAUUUUAUGGAUUUUUUUCCCACAAAUAUACCAGGAUCUACGAUUGAUAUGAGCAUUCGCAUCAUUGUAACUGCUUCAGAAAGCUGGAAUAAUAGAACAUUUUAAAGUACUUCUUUUGGAACUAUUUGUAGACCCAAUUUAAAAGCCAGAAAAAGAACCUCACUGCUCUAUAAUUUUUAUUCUGAAAUAUUUGCUUAUGAUCUAUAAUGCAUUACCCAGCUUAAAUAAUAGAUGAAUCCAGCAACUUGUUUCUGAGUGACUUUUUGUCGUUGUUAAAAGUCAAAUCCAUCUUAGAGGACAGAGAUUUUUCCCCAGAAACUCUGAUGAAGGAAGGCUUUGAAAGUAAUUCCAGGA
rnacentral:lncRNA from 1 species